rnacentral:lncRNA from 1 species
CUUACUUCUUAGCCCUUUGUUUGAUCGUAACUCCGGAUCUGAGCUAAACGGAACCAGAGUCCUUAAAAGGCCUGGAAGGAAUCUCUGACUUUCUCAUAUCUGAACAAACAACAGCUUCAAAGUUGCCGACAGUGUACUAAACGAAGAUACGAGAAUAUCCCCAGAAAGGAAAAUACGCCAUGACGAAGUUGUUCUUGCGUGUGAAUGCUGAGAUUUAAGGAAAUAUCGUGGCUCUCCUUUAACUCACAAAUAAAAUCUUUUUUUUGAACAUUGCUUCCUUUGAGAUUUGCAAACCGUUCUACUAGUUUACACAGUUCUUUUUUUUCCUCCUCCCUUUUAAGUGUACCUCUUAAGUAAGCAGACACUUUAACUUGCCUUCUUAUUAGACAGCUUUUUCUUUAUUG